UGCGGCCGACUUUGAAGUCGAAGCCGCUCUGUUUUAAUAAUACUACGAACCCGAAAAUAUUUCGAGCUUUUAUAAUGGCCGAAAUGAGACAUUUUAAGCCGUCACAAACAUGAGAUUUAUGACCUUUGGAAAACGUCACAGUUUAGAGGGCCACUAGUGGUCGGGAGAAAUGUGACAUUCGGAGCAGAAACAAACAUGUCGCAGUCAGUGAAGAGUUGAAUAGCCCCACCCGUGGCGUUGUAAUAGACACCGCCUGCACCGCCCACCGCAAUGCUGUUUGCUUGUUAGUGAGCACAUCUGCAAAUGCAGUCGGGAGAAAAUCUGGAGAUUAGCCACAACGGCCGGACUGCCGGAAGAAGCCAGGGAUAAACCUGUAAGCGCGACCUGAAAGGAAUUUCAAUUUAUCAGCGCUGUUGAGAUGUGGGAUGGAUCUGCGGGCGCUACUGGGCGUGCGUCAUGUACUCUCAAAGCAGAGUAUGCGUCGUCUUGGUUAACACGGUGAAGUUACGUUUCCCCAAGCUGAUCGACAUGGGAACAAUUCGUAUGGCCUAUAGUUUUGUACAGCGCCGACUUCGGAAAUGCUUGACUUUGACAUGUCAGCAAUUAUACACAUGAAGGACCUACACGGCCAGGUGUACCACAACUUUUUGCGGAAUUCAAGUGUUGCCAAAAUGAAAUCACGAUCUGACAGCACGAGCAGCGUGGGAACUUUUUGUACGGUAAGGUCAACAGUGUAACGUUUCAUACCUUUAGGGUUAAAAAAAUACUAUAGAAUUAUUGUGCAUGAAAUUUCAGGCAUUACCAUGUUAUUAUUCGUACAUAGUGACCAGUCAGGAAUGAUUUAAAGUUUGUGUAAUAAAAAUUACCUGGAAGUUUCGUCGGUAGGGACCUAAAGUAAGCGGACCCGCCCGACUGCAGGAGAGCGAUUGACAUUGGGGCCAUUUGCCAGCGUCGGAACAACGUUACAGAGGCGGUUUGAUGAGGAUUGACGACAUGGAGAAAAUCAACUCAGAAAACAUACUUCAAUUUCCUUGCAAUUCAGGAUUUUCUAACCACAAUUCCGUACGUAAUUGAUUAAGAUUUGAUGCGUCUUAUUGUAAAUUUAGUUUCCCGACACGAGCACAAUAUUAUCAACUUGAAGUGUUGUGUCAAAAAAAAA